rnacentral:misc_RNA from 1 species
ACUUGUUGACCCAAUGGCAAUGAUGUUCAGCGAGACCAUUGUUGUUUUUUAUCCAUUUUCCACUUAAAUUCAACAUAGAACAUACGCCCAACACAGGAAAUCUUGAAGCUCACAUUCUAAGCCAUCUAAGAGAGUAAUCCAUGAGAGGAAUCAGUCCCGCAGAGGCCUAAAAUAAGCCCCAAAAGCCGAGUCUCCCUUGGUCUCGGUUGUCAGCCAUGUUCCGGGAAUGACAAGCAGAGAGAUCGGUUUUCCUUCAACAAUUUCAUCUAAAUUAGAAAAAAAGGGCAUUUCGUCACCCCUAAAGCCAGAGUUGUCCCAAGGAGAGGACAGAUAGAGGUUGAUGAAGUGGAGUCGGGGCAUGUACGAGGGUGAUCCCUCCAUGGCCAUGAUGGCGGGCAGGCACAUACCCCAGCCCACGCCACCACAACCCAUCAGACCGCAGCUACAGGUCCCGGGUCCUUACAUGGAGUAUGGCAGGUCCCCCGCUCGGUCUCAGGACGAUGAACAGGUUAAUUACUUUUGCCAACGACCUAAUCACGACAACGACUUUGCCUACCAGAAAGGGCAGAGAUGGGCUCUCGGGGAUGAUUCUGUCAUCGAUGUGAGUGUUUACGACCCUUUUUUCUUU